rnacentral:rRNA from 1 species
AGUCCAACACUCUGUUACGAUUGACAGGUGGAGAGUUCUUUCACGAUUCAGUGGAUGGUGGUGCAUGGCCGUUCUUAGUUGGUGGAGUGAUUUGUCUGGUUAAUUCCGAUAACGAACGAGACUCUCACUUGCUAACUAACAACACACGUGACACAUGGUGGGUCUAGGGAGAGUUUUGCUCACGCAUCUCUCUCUCUUUUGCUCGCCUCGUGUUCACUACGCGAUUUUGUCUUCUUAGAGGGAUUUACAGCAGCUAAACACAGCCGAAUCGAGAAACCGAGAGCAAUAACAGGUCAGUGAUGCCCUUAGAUGUUCUGGGCUGCACGCGCGCUACAAUGCCUGGUUCAGCAGGUGUUUGUGUGACAUUUCGAAGCACACACCUUCUCUGAGAGGAGCUGGGUAAUCCUGUGAAAGCCGGUAUUGUAGCGCGUUCAUGCUUGCUCGUGCGUGCUCGUUCUCUAGGGAGCUUGUGCGUGCGGGCUUGUGUGUCAGUUGUGCACAUAUGCUUGGGGCAUGCUUGGGCCUGGGUCUUGGAAUUUUUUCCCACAAACGAGGAAUGCCUAGUAGAGGCCAGUCACGGAGUUUGCCGCGACUGAGUCUAUGCCCUUUGUACACACCSCCCGUCGCUACUACCGAUUGUGGGUACACAAGUGAGAUCUUUGGACUGUCUGAGCCUCGUGCGUUGGCG